GUCGCAAGCCGAGCCCGCGCGCGCCCAUCCCACGCCACGAGCCGCGCCGGUCUGCACCACAAGCCGCGCCGCGCCGCCUGCACUGCAAGCCGAGCCGCGCCUCCUUGCUGACGCGAGCCGAGCCGCACGCGCAAGAUCCUUGCGCCAAGCCGAGCCGAGCCGAUCUCUGUCUCCUUCCAGCCGAGCCGCCAAGCCUAAUUUGGCUCCUUCCACCUAAUUUUUGGGACGUCUUGGACCAAGUAACUGCUGCAGCGGGGGAUUUCUUCAGUAGGGGCUUGAGCACUGCAAUCUCCUUCUAGGUUAGGACCUCGUCGCUUGGAAAGCGUACUGCCUCGCGGUUAGGACUCGUCAAGUAAAUCUCCAGGUAAGAGAUUCUACUACUAGCUCCACGCUUAGAAAUAUGAGAUGAUGUAUACUCCAAUUUUGCAUGUUGGGGAUUGGACGGUACGAUGCCUGAAAUCAAUGUUAGUAUGAUGUAAAUGACGGUAUGGCUAUACUAUAGCCUGUUAUGUGUGGCGAGAGCCGUUAUAGUUAUACGACGAAUGUCGAGACGGAGAGGGCAGAGAUGAUUUAUAUGAUAUGUUAUAUGCUGAUGCCAUGUGUAUGUAUACUGCACUUAGGGUACCUGUUAGCUCGAUCUGUUAGAGUCGUACCUGCAUGGGUGUCCUUCGGGAUCACCACCUAUUGAGGACUGUGUGGUCCGACGGGACGCCAGUCUAGCAUGGAUAUAGAUAUGACUCGAGUGACUCGACGGGGUCCUCGCAUCCCGACUGUCCUAGGUGUCCCUCGGGGCACCGAAGACCAGAGUUACGUUCCUACGGGAGCGCAUGAUUGCACGUGUUCGGGAACGUGCCAGAGAUUGGGUACCAGUUAUCAGGACUCUAACAGGAAGUUAACAGGCACCUAGUGGGACUAGUAGUGGGUCCCUUACUGAGUAUUUUUAUACUCACUCUCUUCGU